GGGGCGAAGUCCGGCUCCCAUAGGAGUCCGGACGAAGUCUUCCUGCAGCUGGAGUUGGAGACGAGAUCCAGCUCCCGUAGGAGUCCAGGCGGUGCAAUGGGAGUUCGCCAUCUGCAGCCGAAAGCUGGAGGAGUCCAACGAGGGUCAAUCCUGUUAAGAAUUUCGGCUGGGGGUAUUUUAUACCCAACAAUUAGCAUAAAUGGAUC
rnacentral:lncRNA from 1 species